UACGGAGGGGGCUAGCGUUGUUCGGAAUCAUUGGGUUUAAAGGGUCCGUAGGCGGUUUGGUAAGUCAGUGGUGAAAGCCCUUCGCUCAACGGAGGAACGGCCAUUGAUACUGCCAGACUUGAAUUACUGGGAAGUAACUAGAAUAUGUAGUGUAGCGGUGAAAUGCUUAGAUAUUACAUGGAAUACCAAUUGCGAAGGCAGGUUACUACCGGUGGAUUGACGCUGAUGGACGAAAGCGUGGGGAGCGAACAGG
rnacentral:rRNA from 1 species